AGGCUCAUAGCUCAAUCGGUCAGAGCGUCGGUCUCAUAAACCGAGGGUUCCGGGUUCGAGUCCCGGUGAGCCUACCA
rnacentral:tRNA from 1 species